rnacentral:rRNA from 1 species
AUACGGAGGAUGCGAGCGUUAUCCGGAUUUAUUGGGUUUAAAGGGUGCGUAGGCUGUGCGUUAAGUCAGGGGUGAAAUGCCGUCGCUCAACGACGGAGCUGCCCUUGAUACUGGCGUGCUGGAGUACGGAUGCCGUUGGUGGAAUGAGUGGUGUAGCGGUGAAAUGCUUAGAUAUCACUCAGAACACCGAUUGCGAAGGCAUCUGACGAAUCCGUCACUGACGCUGAGGCACGAAAGCGUGGGGAUAGAACAGGAUUAGAUACCCUGGUAUUCCACGCCGUAAACGAUGAUGACUAACCGUCGGCGAUAGACAGCCGGUGGCCAAGCGAAAGCGAUAAGUCAUCCACCUGGGGAGUACGUCGGCAACGAUGAAACUCAAAUGAAUUGACGGGG